rnacentral:rRNA from 1 species
AUUGAACGCUGGCGGCAGGCUUAACACAUGCAAGUCGAGCGGAGCGAGGGUGCUUGCACCUUAGCUUAGCGGCGGACGGGUGAGUAAUGCUUAGGAAUCUGCCUAUUAGUGGGGGACAACAUUCCGAAAGGAAUGCUAAUACCGCAUACGUCCUACGGGAGAAAGCGGGGGCUCUUCGGACCUCGCGCUAACAGAUGAGCCUAGGUCGGAUUAGCUAGUUGGUGGGGUAAUGGCACACCAAGGCGACGAUCCGUUACUGGUCUGAGAGGAGGAUCAGUCACACUGGAACGGAGACACGGUCCAGACUCCUACGGGAGGCAGCAGUGGGGAAUAUUGGACAAUGGGCGAAAGCCUGAUCCAGCCAUGCCGCGUGUGUGAAGAAGGUCUUCGGAUUGUAAAGCACUUUAAGUCGGGAGGAAGGGCUGUAGGCUAAUACCUUGCAGUUUUGACGUUACCGACAGAAUAAGCACCGGCUAACUUCGUGCCAGCCGCCGCAGUAA